CUGCAGCCAGGAACCAUUUCAUCCUGUCGGUGAGAUUCAGCACUCCUUUAAACAUCGCGGAUCUGUCCGUCCGUCAGGCAAUGCUAAAGUGGCUUGAUCAUGAACUGCAAGCAAAAUUUCCUGUUGGCAACUUCCACCUGACCUGGAUGGGAUAGCACAGAAGUUUGAAAAGAAAACGAUCAGAAAGCUUGCCAAUGGAUGCCUCUUCUGGAUCGGCGCACCGUAAUAACAGACAUCAUAAUGGAUUGCAGAUUUUCUUUUAUUUCAUUUUCCAUGCCAGCCGAUGCCAAGACCCCAUAAACGCCCCCUUCAAAUUCUGUGAAAACUCCGCGUCAAGUUCCCCCCGCAGUGUGAAAUGUACAAAAUCAACAGCGUGGCUGUGUUCACACAACACCCAACUGUCUGGACAGUUUCUGUGUGACUUGCUAAGUGAGGUUAGCUUCCCUCUUUUUUCAUUCCUUCUAUUGGCUGAGCAACCUGGACAGAAUAUGGAACCGGCCUGGUAACAUUACAGCUUAAUACGUUGAACAAAUAAAUAGACGAAUGCUGUAACUCGCUCAA